AUGCACAUAACUGAUAAGCACGAUGUAGAAGAUGACUUUAGGGGGGUUGAUAACAGCUCUAGAGAAGAAAUAUCAAGUAUCAGCAGUUUGAUUAAUGGGACUUUGAGAAAUGAAAGAUUUCUGAUAAUUUUUCAUUAUGGAGGAAUUGAAGAUAUCGAUCUAGUGCAAUUUGGCAUUCCACUUUUUGGUAAAGGUAAAUUGUUAUGGACCACUGAUAAAAGAUUUGAGGCCAUCCAGAGAGAUAAAGUCAAGUUGAGAUGCCCACCACUUCUGUUAAUAUUUAUAUUGAUAUGCAUGAUUUGGCUGAAGAUAUACAAGAAAAGACAAUGCUUCAUUAAUUGUGUAUUGCAUGAAGAUGCCGUUGGAGUGAUUGGUGACAUUGGUAUGGAUGGCAUCAACCCAGAAAUAGUUUUGGGUUGCUUCUUGUACACAUUGUUCCUGACAGCACAAAUACCUGAAAACUCUACUGAUGUUGACUAUGGUUGGGCUACUCAUGCUUGCAACUACUGGAUAUGUGAUGGAAUCCUUGGUGAGGAAAACAGUUGGGAGAUUGGCAAUGCAUUGUAUGGAGUGAUACCGCGGUUGGGCAAUUCUACUGAUCAUGAUGCAAUGUUAGUUAAGUCAUUCUAUUUGGGUGAACGGAAAAAAUCCUAUAAGGGAUGGUAUUCAGUCACCUCCAGCAAACUAAGAGCAAAAGACAUCUCUAAUGUUCCUGGAAGUGCAUCAUCAUAUUUUUAA
rnacentral:rRNA from 1 species